AUGGUGUCUGAGCCCGACCCCGACCCCGACCCCGACCCCGACGUCUCCCUCCUGCCCCCCGCUCCGAACCCUAGCCACAAACCCUGCCUCCGGGCAGCCAAGACCACGGCCUUCAAGCGCGAGGAGCGCCACAAGCGCAAGGAGCAGAAGCGGGAGUUCAAGCGGCAGCGCAAGGAGCAGAAGCGGGAGCGCAAGGAGCAGCGCAAGGAGCAGAAGCGGGAGGCGCCGCAAGCGCAAGGAGGAGAAGCGCGAUCGCCGCAAGCGCAAGGAGGAGAAGCGCGAGCGCAAGCGGCAGCGGAAGCGGGAGGACACCCUCGCCCUCGCGCUCGCCCAACAGGCCCGGGCCGCGUGACCCGUCCUCGCCCGCGGGCGCCGUGCCCUCCGCCUCCUGGAUCUGGGGCCCUCCAGCGGAACCCUCCGCCGACAGGGCCUAGGGACGCGGGCUCUGAGCCCGAGGGGAUUCUACGAGGCGGAGCGAGGGAGACGGGGUGGUUCCUGUGCCUGGUGUGCGAGGGGAUCGGCGCCAAGGCGGGCAUGCGGUUCCCGGGCUGCUGGUGCAGCACGCCGGCUCGGUCGCCCGGGCCAAGAGGCGGCUCACGCCGCCGCCGCCCUGGGCUGCCUGCUCGGACAACGCCCUUUCCGGUAGAUUGUGACAACGAUGGCGCUUGUGAUCAAGCUGAGCACUUGGAUGAUUCUGAAAGUGCAGAAAUGGAGGUGGCCUAA
rnacentral:rRNA from 1 species